rnacentral:lncRNA from 1 species
GGAUUCCAGCCUUCACAACAAUCACACCGCGGGCAUGAAGCCAUAUGAUUUGAAAUCCAACUUGACCGUACAAUUUAUUAUGUACUGUACUAUUGAGCACGCGACUUGCAUGCCUCCAUUCUUACGCGUAUAAAUUUACGAGCUAACCAAAACAUAAUUACACAGGACGAGAGCCAAGACUCAUGUACAGGAAUGCAGCAGUUCAAAGAGGGCCUUAAUUUGCAACCUAGCGUCAGCAAACCAAUUUAGAGGGGUUACCUAAGGUGCAACAAGAGACUUGGGGCUAGUGAUAGCCCGGCUCUUUAAUUUGUGAGCAUCUCAACGGAGACGUCGCCCCUU